rnacentral:tRNA from 1 species
GGGGGCGUCGUUCAAUGGCAGGACUACGGUCUCCAAAACCGUCAAUUCCCGUUCGAGUCGGGACGCCCCCG